UACGUAGGGGGCAAGCGUUGUCCGGAAUCAUUGGGCGUAAAGAGCGUGUAGGCGGCCCGAUAAGUCCGCUGUGAAAGUCCAGGGCUCAACCCUGGGAUGCCGGUGGAUACUGUCGGGCUCGAGUACGGAAGAGGAGUGUGGAAUUCCUGGUGUAGCGGUGAAAUGCGCAGAUAUCAGGAGGAACACCAAUGGCGAAGGCAGCACUCUGGGACGUGACUGACGCUGAGACGCGAAAGCGUGGGGAGCAAACAGG
rnacentral:rRNA from 1 species